rnacentral:rRNA from 1 species
GGAUCAAUUGAUAUGGUCAUGCCUUGGUAUGUACUGUUCAUAUUGGUUCUCACCUUCUAAUGAACCAUAAUGUCAUUUAUUUGAUGUUAUGGGGAAUUAGGACUGUUACCUUGAAAAAAUUAGAGUGUUUAAAGCAGGCCUUUGCCCGAAUACAUUAGCAUGGCAUAAUAAAAUAGGACG